ensembl:lncRNA
GUCCGGGGUCGCUGAUGGGAAUCUGACCUUUAAGUCCUUCUUUGCAGGUGGCCUGCUUUUCUCUCUCCAGAGCCUGGGGCUUGUCUGCUUCCUUCUGGAUGCUCUCAAGCUCUGGUCUGGGUUGGAGGCGUUCCCUGGUCCUCCUGCGCCAGCGCUUUGUGGGCCCUUUAACUUGAAGAUCAGCGUUUCCGUUUAGCCGGGGAAAUUUUCUUUCACCCUGAACAGGAUUCUCCCCGUCCUGAUACGUCUUUCUGGAGUGUGUGUUUUAAUUGUUUGAUCUUCCGGAUUUGAUGCACAGAUCCAGCAGGCUCCUUGCUUUUAUCUUCCUGCCCUCCCACUGGAAAUUUAAAAGCAAACGUUGUCAACCUUAUAUUUAAUAUUCUGAAGCUUGCUCUUGUUUCUUGGUGGCUGUUUUUCUCGGUCCCAUCAGGGCUUUUGAACAGGACAUCGUGGCUGAAAUGUGUGAGCUUGUCUCUGAGGAGGGAUGAAAGCAGAGACUGGAGUGACUGCGCGGCACACAGCACGGCUUCCCGUGCGUGGCCCGCGGCCGCACGUUCCCCGCCCAGGAGGCCGUCCUGGAGCACGCGGCAUGGGGUGAAGGACAGCUUCAGCUGCUGGGUCUUCUUCAAGGAGGAGUAGGAGUCAAGACUCUGUCUCAGAACUUGGAGCUCAAAUAGAGAAAAAACAACUUCGGAGAUGUGGUGGCAUCAGAUGUCAGCCAAGCUGAGAACACGAAAUGCCAAAAAAGAUGUGUAAAAAGGAAGUAGGCCAAGCAGGGACAGCGAGGCUGAGGAGGAGGUGGCACCAACAACGUGGGCCCAGGAGAAGGUGCACAAGGAAAAGACGGAGCAGCUGACCUCAGCGACCAGGACAGGCCCAGAGGGACACGUGAACCCUGGAGGAGGGAGGGGAGCCAGGACCUCGCCGGCCUGUUGGAAUCUCGGGAGGUGUCCUCCGUACCAUCAAGGCCAAUUGGUGAUGCAGCAGUUUUGAAAAACAUACUCCACGACUGUCUUUAGGAUUUUCUUCCAAGCCGUUAUCCACCCCCAACAAAUCUGCAAGGUUUUGCAUUGUCACUUUCUACUUGGAUCGACACGUGACUUCCUGUUUUCUGUAAUCGAAUCACAGGGCUCUAGCGUGGAGCAGAUUCUAUUCAAAGUCUGCAGGAGGCUCCCAACGUCCAGCACCGUAACUACUCUCCUACUGGGCACGUUGAUAGGUCGUCCCAGCCUCACUGUGCUUUGAAAAUUUGGCAACUUUUUCCCAUCUUCAGUUAUGUUACUUGGCCACACAGGACAAAUAAUAAACAGACUCAUUUGAAGCAAAGACAAUGAGAAUAACCAGAACCAAGUGUGGGCGUGUGUGAGUAAGUAGUGACAACUGCUUCAAACUACUGCAUGUCUGAAAACGACUUCAUGAUGUCAUCAAUCCCAAUUUUAGAGCUGGUAAAAAGUUAAAAAGUAUGUGUAACACAUGAAAUGUGAUAGUUCUUUUUAAACAUAGUGACAUCUAUCCAUCUUUUUUUCUUUUAUGAAAUCUUUAUUUUCUCAUGUGUUUAGGAAGCAUUUGUUCGUUAUAAGAUUGGAAAAAUGUAUGCCUGUAUUUUCUAUUUGAUUUCCCUUAUUAUAACAUAUUUUGUAU